rnacentral:rRNA from 1 species
GACGAACGCUGGCGGCGUGCUUAACACAUGCAAGUCGAGCGAAUCGGCGGACGGGUGGGUAACACGUGAGUAACCUGCCUUAGACAUUGGGAUAGCCUCGGGAAACCGGGAUUAAUACCAAAUGGUCUAAGAUGGGCUCGCCUCCCAUUAGCCAGUUGGUGAGGUAACGGCCCCCCAAGGCGACGAUGGGUAGCCGGCAUGAGAGGGGGGACGGACACAUUGGAAGUGAGAAACGGUCGAAACUCUACGGGAGGCAGCAGUGGGGAAUACAGCACAAGGGAGGGAACGCGGAUGCAGCGACGCCGCGUAAACGAAGAAGGCGUUCGAGUCGUAAAGUGCUUUUAUAUGGGAAGCGGUACCAUAAGAAAAAGCCCCGGCUAACUACGUGCCAGCAGCCGCGGUAAUAC